rnacentral:rRNA from 1 species
GAUGAACGCUAGCUACAGGCUUAACACAUGCAAGUCGAGGGGAAACGAUAGAGAAAGCUUGCUUUUUCUAGGCGUCGACCGGCGCACGGGUGAGUAACGCGUAUCCAACCUGCCCAUCACUUGGGGAUAACCUUGCGAAAGUAAGACUAAUACCCAAUGAUAUCUCUAGAAGACAUCUGAAAGAGAUUAAAGAUUUAUCGGUGAUGGAUGGGGAUGCGUCUGAUUAGCUUGUUGGCGGGGUAACGGCCCACCAAGGCGACGAUCAGUAGGGGUUCUGAGAGGAAGGUCCCCCACAUUGGAACUGAGACACGGUCCAAACUCCUACGGGAGGCAGCAGUGAGGAAUAUUGGUCAAUGGACGAGAGUCUGAACCAGCCAAGUAGCGUGCAGGAUGACGGCCCUAUGGGUUGUAAACUGCUUUUAUAAGGGAAUAAAGUGAGUCUCGUGAGACUUUUUGCAUGUACCUUAUGAAUAAGGACCGGCUAAUUCCGUGCCAGCAGCCG